GAUGAAGAACGCAGCGAAAUGCGAUAAGUAAUGUGAAUUGCAGAAUCCAGUGAAUCAUCGAAUCUUUGAACGCACAUUGCGCCCGCCAGCAUUCUGGCGGGCAUGCCUGUUCGAGCGUCAUUUCAACCCUCGACCUCCCUUUGGGGAAGUCGGCGUUGGGGACCGGCAGCACACCGCCGGCCCUGAAAUGGAGUGGCGGCCCGUCCGCGGCGACCUCUGCGUAGUAAUCCAACUCGCACCGGAACCCCGACGCGGCUACGCCGUAAAACACCCAACUUCUGAACGUUGACCUCGAAUCAGGUAGGACUACCCGCUGAACUUAAGCAUAUCAAUAAGCGGAGGA
rnacentral:misc_RNA from 1 species